rnacentral:rRNA from 1 species
UACAGAGGUCCCAAGCGUUGUUCGGAUUCACUGGGCGUAAAGGGUGCGUAGGUGGUUAGGUAAGUCCGAUGUGAAAUCUCCAGGCUCAACCUGGAAAUGGCAUUGGAUACUAUUUAGCUUGAGGAGUGGAGGGGGGACUGGAAUUCUCGGUGUAGCAGUGAAAUGCGUAGAUAUCGAGAGGAACACCAGUGGCGAAGGCGGCUACCUGGCCCGAUACUGACGCUGAGGCACGAAAGCGUGGGGAGCAAACAGG